rnacentral:SRP_RNA from 1 species
UCUGGGCAUGGUGGCGCAUGCCUGUAAUCCCAGCUAGCUACUUGGGAGGCUGAGGCAGGAGAAUUGCUUGAACCCAGGAGGUGGAGGUUGCAGUGAGCUAAGAUCACGCCACUGCACUCCAGCCUGGGUGACAGAGCGAGACUCUGUCUCUA